UCUCCGUUGGUGAACCAGCGGAGGGAUCAUUACCGAGUUUACAACUCCCAAACCCCUGUGAACAUACCUGUUUUGUUGCUUCGGCGGUGCCCUCGCUCUCGCGGCGAGGCCCGCCAGAGGACCCAAACAAACUCUUUGACUUUGAUCUUGGAUUAUACUUCUGAGUGAUACAAAAAAUAAAAUCAAAACUUUCAACAACGGAUCUCUUGGUUCUG
rnacentral:misc_RNA from 1 species